GUGCGGCUGUGGGACGUGGCGACCCGCCGCCCGCUCGCCACGCUCGCCGGCCACACCGACGCCGUGUGGUCGGUGGCGUUCAGCCCCGACGGGCGCACGC
rnacentral:tRNA from 1 species